CAGUCGCCGCGGGAAUACAGAGGGUGCGAGCGUUAAUCGGAUUUACUGGGCGUAAAGCGUGCGUAGGCGGCUUCUUAAGUCGGAUGUGAAAUCACUGAGCUUAACUUAAGAAUUGCAUUCGAUACUGGGAAGCUAGAGUAUGGGAGAGGAUGGUAGAAUUCCAGGUGUAGCGGUGAAAUGCGUAGAGAUCUGGAGGAAUACCGAUGGCGAAGGCAGCCAUCUGGCCUAAUACUGACGCUGAGGUACGAAAGCAUGGGGAGCAAACAGGAUUAGAUACCCGUGUAGUCCCUGUCUCUUAUAA
rnacentral:rRNA from 1 species